rfam:Chloroflexi bacterium RBG_16_48_8 RBG_16_scaffold_2935, whole genome shotgun sequence.
CAGCAGGAGUCAGUCCUGCAGGGGCAAAAGCCAGGAGCCCCGUAGUUUGGAUAGCAGGAGGGAGGGAAACCGAGAUUCUGAAACCUAUCGACAAAGCCAUCCUGGGGAUGGCAGCGAGUCACCAGGCCAUAGCGUAA